rnacentral:rRNA from 1 species
AUAUUGGACAAUGGGGGAAACCCUGAUGCAGAGACGCCGCGUGAGCGAAGAAGGCCUUCGGGUCGUAAAGCUCUGUCCUAAGAGAAGAAACGGACGGUACCCUAGGAGGAAGCCCUGGCUAACUACGUGCCAGCAGCCGCGGUAAUACGCAGGGGGCGGGCGUUAUCCGGAAUUACUGGGCGUAAAGGGUGCGUAGGCGGCCUUUUAAGUCAGAUGGGAAAGGCAACGGCUUAACCGAAGUUAGCAUUUGACACUAAAAGGCUUGGGUGUAGGAGAGGAGAGUGGAAAUCGUAGUGUAGCGGUGAAAUGCGUAGAUAUUAGGAGGAACACAAGUGGCGAAGGCGAAUCUCUGGACUGCAACUGACGCUGAGGCACGAAAGCGUGGGUAGCGAACAGG